rnacentral:lncRNA from 1 species
GGCUUUUCUGGCUUUGCCCGCCCAGCUGCUCCGUGCCAGGAGGAGAAGGAGACACCUAGAGCCUGUGACACCAUGACUUGCCUCGCUGCGGUCUCCCACUGUCACCCAGGCUGAACUCCUGAGGCCAGAAUGAGACUAGGACAUGGUUCCUUUGCCUAAGUAAAGUGAGGCAGACAAUGGAAUACUUCAGACUUCAAAUUAGUAUGAUUUUCAAAACGUCAUACCUCGAACCACCACCAGAUGGCGAUGAGAAUGUUACAAAUAUUGUGCCACCAUAUAAUGCUUUCUCAGGCCAAGGCAUGCCAGAGGUAAAAUAAAAUACAUUUG